UGUGGUAAUUGGUUGAUCGCUUUGAUUUUAGUUCAGAGAGGAAAGUCCGGGCUUCACGUAAGCAAGGCGUCGGAUAACAUCCGGCGUUGUAGGUUGAAAAACCUACAAUAGGGAAAGUGUAACAGAAAGCAUACCGCCUUUUUAAGGUAAGGGUGAAAUGGCGACGGUAAGAGCGCACCGCGUAUUAGGCGACUGAUACGGCAAGACAAACCCCGCCUGAAGCAAGACCAAAUAGGAACGAUGAGAAUAUAUUUUCGCGAGAGCUUACGGUCGUAGUCGUUCGGGUAGGUCGCUUGAGCUUAUUGGCGACAAUAAGCCUAGAUGAAUGAUCAAACAGAAGAGGAAUCUUUGGACAGAACCCGGCUUAUAGAUUACCGCGCUUG
rnacentral:RNase_P_RNA from 1 species